GACGAACGCUGGCGGCGUGCCUAAUACAUGCAAGUCGAACGAAGCUGUUUUAACUGGUGCUUGCACCGACUUAAACAACUGAGUGGCGAACGGGUGAGUAACACGUGGGUAACCUGCCCCAAAGCGGGGGAUACCAUUUGGAAACAGAUGCUAAUACCGCAUAACCACAGAAACCACAUGGUUUCUGUGUCAAAGAUGGCUUCGGCUAUCACUUUGGGAUGGACCCGCGGCGUAUUAGCUAGUUGGUAAGGUAAUGGCUUACCAAGGCAAUGAUACGUAGCCGAACUGAGAGGUUGAUCGGCCACAUUGGGACUGAGACACGGCCCAAACUCCUACGGGAGGCAGCAGUAGGGAAUCUUCCACAAUGGUCGAAAGUCUGAUGGAGCAACGCCGCGUGAGUGAAGAAGGUUUUCGGAUCGUAAAACUCUGUUGUCAGAGAAGAACGUGUGCGAGAGUAACUGCUCGUGCAGUGACGGUAUCUGGCCAGAAAGCCACGGCUAACUACGUGCCAGCCGCCGCUGUAA
rnacentral:rRNA from 1 species